UUCGUACUCAUCAGAAAGUUUGGAUUCGUUAUCGGAGUUUCGAAAGGCGCACUUUGGGACAUAAGCACACCUGCAUGUAUGAUGAAAUACGCACCCAGGGAACGAGAUCUUAUUUAAUUACCCAGCAUUAUGAGGUUGAUUCGAGAUGGAGAAGCCAGCAAGCCUACGCAAUUCUGUAUCAAAGCAAAAGUGGACCUAUAAUGCGGCUCAUGCAGAACCAAGGAACGCAUGGCAUUGAGUACACCUUGCUCUUUUGGCAUCCUGUGGAACACUGUGCAGUUUUCAAUCGGCCAUAUGAAGGCAAGGCAUUUCGCAAUAUGUUACGCUUUUAAAGAUUUGCCUGUAGUAUACUUGCGCGGAAUUAUUUGUAGAUAAAUGUUGUAUACUUGCUCCUCCUAAU